rnacentral:rRNA from 1 species
UACGUAGGGCGCAAGCGUUUGUCCGGAAUUAUUGGGCGUAAAGAGCUCGUAGGCGGCUUGUCACGUCGGGUGUGAAAGCCCGGGGCUUAACCCCGGGUCUGCAUUCGAUACGGGCUGGCUGGAGUGUGGUAGGGGAGAUCGGAAUUCCUGGUGUAGCGGUGAAAUGCGCAGAUAUCAGGAGGAGCACCGAUGGCGAAGGCAGGUCUCUGGGCCGAUACUGACGCUGAGGAGCGAAAGCGUGGGGAGCGAACAGG